GCCUGGGUGGCUCAGUCAGUUAAGGGCCUGACUUAGGCUCAGGUCAUGAUCUUGCAGUGCGUGGGUUCGAGCCCCGCAUCGGGCU
rnacentral:tRNA from 1 species